GCCCGCGGCGGUCUUUGUCCCGUGGCCUAGCGGCUUUCCGAGCCUCUCCUCUUGGUCGUCUUGCGGUGCUUGGUGUCGUCGGUGAGGCCGCGUGCCAGGAAGGUUCGGACGCAAGGAGGGCGUUAAAGGACAGGUGUGGCCCGGCCUCCGAGGGGCCUCCUUAAAGAGGCCGGGUCCCCUCCGCUCGCCCCCUUCGCGGCCGCUGGCGCCCGCGUUGGGCCGGCCGAGAGGAGCGGUGAGGGCGCACCUGCGAAGUGUUUUCGGCCACGGUGCCUCCUUGUUCAAACUCCUCCUAAGUAACCGUUGUGACUCUUCUCCAGGAGGAUGAGAAUUUCCGCUGGGCAAGUCAGGUUGGCCCGGCCCUGCGGUGGUCACCGCCCUGUCGCUCCUGGCUGUCCCGAGCCAACGUAUGACGACUGAUGACUGAUAACAUUUACUGAUUAAUGGUAAAUACAAAACACGACUCCAGAUUACCCGGUGUCCAUGGGGAUGGCUGUCUGUACUUGUAUUCAUAAGAUACGCUGAAAUGGUCUUGGUGUCAGAGAAAGGAAUGUCGGAUGAUAUGGAAGAUGGAGGUGUGCUUUUCUCAAAGAAUUGAUCCAUUCACGACCAUUUAUCAGGUGUCUACAGUGUGUUCGGGCAUGUGCUGCAUUAGAGGGAAAUAAGAAAAGAGCUCCGAGUCCAGGUGUGGUGAGACAAGGUCAUGUUUAAGAGUUUCCAUUGAAGCCAUGUGACUGGAUGAACAUUGAUGAUGUUCCUUGAUCCAGGCCAUUACAUGUGUGGUGAUUUAGGAUUCAGUGACCUUUGGUGACGUGCCUGUGGACUUCACCUUGGAGGAAUGGACUUUUCUGGACCCCUCUUAGAGAACCUUAUGCAGAGAUGCAGUACUGGAUGGAGAACUCCCAGAACCUGAGUACGGUUAUCAACUCUUUAAACACACUUUUAUCUCAUGGUUGGAGCAAGAAGAGUUGAGGACAAUGGAGAGAGGUAUUCCUCAGGGUGAGUGUGAAGAACAUCCCUCAUCAAUGAGAAGUUCAGUAUGUUUGGAAAUGUAACAAGAGGCUUCUUACGAGGAAACAGAACAAAUCUUUUGGGGUGUUCCAGGAGCCCUCUGGAAAAAUGCCAGGCUGGAGGCCCAAACCCUGGAGGUAGUUUAUUGUUUCAACCAAAGAGCAAAUGCUGAGACCCAUAUCCAAGUAGUUAUCUGCUGGGAAAGGAUACCCCAGGCCCACAUCCCAAAUGGCAUCACCCGUGCACAGAAUCUCAUUGCUGGCAGGGAUACUGGCCUAAGAUGACAUCACUCCCUCCGAAGAUCUCCUGAAUAGAAAUGACUUCACCCAGUUCAUGAGCUUCUGCACCAGCAAUAUCCGUGGCUGACCCUCCUAAUGCAGAAAGUAGACAAAGGACAAUUUUGCUGAUCUUCUUUUGAUAUUCUGUUUUGUUCCUGAGCUGCUUGCAGUCUGCUUAGCCCAUUAUCCAGGCAUAACUGCAUUCUGCCAAAAC